rnacentral:lncRNA from 10 species
AUUUUUCUUCUCGGUCACUUUGCAAACCGGGACCUCCGGCCAGCGAUGCCCCACCCGCGCCCUGCUCAGCCACGCUGGCAUGCCCCAGCUCGCCUGUGUUAUAGCUUCUAUCCGCGUUCGGCGGUUCCCAAGCUCUUGUACCCACGUUCGGCGGUUCCCAAGCUCUUGUACCCGCGUUCGGCAGUUCCCAAGCUCUUGUACCACGCCUGAGAAGAAUGAGGAUACGUUGGACAUUGAAGGGUGAAGAGGGCGGAGAAGAAUUUUAUUGAGCAAGGGAACAGCAAUUAGCGGAGAAGGGACUCUGGGGGGUGGUCGCCCACCCCCUUAGUCGGAUGGUUUUUUCCUCCCCUCGUGGCUGGGUCACGAGCUUUUUAUAGGCUUAGAAUAGGGGAGGGGCAGGUCAUAGGUAGUAUUGGAAAAGGCAACGCUUGAUCGGUUAAAACGCAUUAUUUAGAAAUAAUUAAUCAGGAAAGAGCGGGGGCAAAAAGGAACAGAAAUACUCAGCCUGUGUCGCGGGUUUCAUCUGGGACCAGCAGUUCAGUGUUUUUGGCUGGAAGGUGGGGUUUCACCCCAUCCUCCUGGGCAUUUAGCAGCCUCCAGCCGCUCUCACUUUCGUGUGCCAUGGACGAGAUGAUAAACUGAGAUUGUAGAGGAGUUGCAGUUCUUGGCAGUGACCAGGUCUAGAGAACGACCACUGAGGGGUUGCUUGCUCUGAUGGAAACGUUAUUCCUAGGCUUCAUUUCUGAAUAUGGAUGUCCCACUGCCAGCUUUGGGAAGCCUUCACCAUCUCUGCCUAUACAGAUGGACACACUCCCUGCCUGUGCUGCUGCUAGACUGUGCUUACACUUCCAUCACAGAAUUUAUUUGAUUGGGUUAUCAUGGCUUCUCUGCUGGAAUGGAAGCUACUUGGGAGCCUGGGGAAAUGCUUGGCUCAAAGCGUAAGUAUGUGAAGAAUACAUGAAUGAAUGAAUGACCCUGUCAGCUCUAAACAUCCUAUAAGUUUAUCUUGCUUCAUGGCCAGCACAGGGGCUCAUGCCUAUAAUCCCAGCACUCUGGGAGGCAGAGGCGAGCGGAUCACCUGAGCUCCGGAGUUCGGGACCAGCCUGGCCAACAUGGCGAAAACCGGUCAUACUAAAAAUAUAAAAAUUAGCUGGGUGUGGUGACAGGUGCCUGUAAUCCCAGCUACUGGUAGGCUGAGGCAGGAGAAUCACUUGAACCUGAGAGGCAGAGGAU